UGCUCUGAACUCUGUUAGUUCUUCUCCCACUAUCUUUUUUCCUCAGGGUUUUUUUCCAAGGAAACCUCAGAGUAUUUUGCUUCUUCUCCUUUUCUCAAGUGAAGCCUUGGUAUUUAUAGACUGAAUUCCAUGGCUUUGUGGGCUCAAAUGAGAGAGACCCAAGUCCAAAAAUUUUUGUUAUAUAUUUUAUUUAUUUAUUUAAUUAAUUUUAUUUAUUUAUUUAUU
rnacentral:lncRNA from 1 species